rnacentral:tRNA from 1 species
GGGGAUGUGGCUCAAGCGGUAGCGCGCUUGCCUGGAAUGCAUGGGGCCUGGGUUCGAUCCUCAGCACCA